UGCUAUUAAAGAAUGGUAUAAAGUAAGUAACCCUUCCCAUGAUAGUAUGUCUUUGGCUUUAUACAAGAUGGCGAUAGAUUUGGACAUUUUUGAUUUGAUAUAGUUUAUAUGUGCUUUCCAGCUUAGUUUAUUCUUUAUUCUAAAAUUGUUA